CCGAUAUCGGGCCGGACAAUAUGGAAGACGAUACAUAUUUCAUACAUUUUACGACAACGAUAUCGGAUCGGAUACCUAAUGUGAAAACGCUCUAAGGGCAAAGAACCGGAAAAGUCCUUAAUCACUGGACCUCCGCCGCUUCAAGCUCCUAUAGAUGCAACAUGCAUUAAGAAAGACAAGAAGAGUAUAUAUGCUUUUAUUUAUAGAACCAGUUAACCGUCCUUCAGUUUUCUCAUGGUCUAAAACUGAAGUCGUAAAAGUGUACUCAAAGGCGACAAAAAAAUGCUAAACGUGAACUAAAAAUCAUAUAUGUGUCGUCGUAUAUGAAGUUAACCCUAUAGACGGUUCUUUAUGUUUAUAUUUUUGAUUUGAAUAGUUUUUGGAUGGAAGUGGUUAAUUGAUUAUGUUGAAGAAGUGGUGGUCGAAAAUAAUAUACAUAUCCCAAUCCCACAAAAUAUAGUCCAAUGUGAUAUCAAAAGUGUUCAAAAAUUAUAAUAAAGUUAGGUAUUGUUUUACAAUGGACAACAAUUAUAAUCAUUUAGCAAAAUCGUCGUGUUUAAACACAACUUUAACUUUGUGUUCGGAAAGUCUAUUCAAUAAUCCACUAAAUCCUUCCUUUUCCCUUUAAACUGGGUAGAGGAAGCAAAAAAUUUGGGAGUGGUUCUGGAUAGCCAGCUACGGUUCGAAAACCAUGUACUUAAUGUCGUCAGAAGCUGCUUCUUUCGUCUUAGGGUGCUUUAUAAAUAUACCACCGCCAAUUAGACUCUGUGCCACAAUAAAUUCAUUCAAGCAACAAUUAAAGUCUCAUUUAUUAAAUAUCCAAAAACGGAACAAUCCAACAAGUCGCCGGUAACUGUCGUUGUUUCGAAAUCCUUAA